rnacentral:rRNA from 1 species
AAUUCGAUUGAGUUUGAUCAUGGCUCAGAACGAACGCUGGCGGCGUGGAUAAGACAUGCAAGUCGAGCGCUGGUUACAGGGUAGCAAUAUCUUGUAACUGGAGCGGCGCAAGGGUGCGUAACACGUGGGUAAUCUGCCAUGAAGUCUGGGAUAACUUGCUGAAAGGCGAGCUAAUACCGGAUGUGACGAUUGGAAGGCAUCUUCCGAUUUUCAAAGUUGGGGACCGUAAGGCCUGGCGCUUCAUGAUGAGCCCGCGGCCUAUCAGCUAGUUGGUGAGGUAAUGGCUCACCAAGGCUAAGACGGGUAGCUGGUCUGAGAGGACGACCAGCCACACUGGAACUGAGACACGGUCCAGACACCUACGGGUGGCAGCAGUCGAGAAUUUUUCACAAUGGGCGAAAGCCUGAUGGAGCGACGCCGCGUGGGGGAUGAAUGGCUUCGGCCCGUAAACCCCUGUCAUUUGCGAACAAGUUGGUUCAAUGAACAAUUGAACCAUUGAUAGUAGCGAAAGAGGAAGGGACGGCUAACUCUGUGCCAGCAGCCGCGGUAAUACAGAGGUCCCAAGCGUUGUUCGGAUUCACUGGGCGUAAAGGGUGCGUAGGUGGUGAGGUAAGUCGGAUGUGAAAUCUCCGAGCUCAACUCGGAAAUGGCAUUGGAAACUA